rnacentral:rRNA from 1 species
UACGUAGGGUGCAAGCGUUGUCCGGAAUUAUUGGGCGUAAAGAGCUUGUAGGCGGUUUGUCGCGUCUGCUGUGAAAAUCCGGGGCUCAACCCCGGACUUGCAGUGGGUACGGGCAGACUAGAGUGUGGUAGGGGAGACUGGAAUUCCUGGUGUAGCGGUGGAAUGCGCAGAUAUCAGGAGGAACACCGAUGGCGAAGGCAGGUCUCUGGGCCACUACUGACGCUGAGGCACGAAGGCUGGGGGAGCGAACAGG